UGCUUCUCGGAGGAAUUUGUUAUGAAUAGGAAUAAGUAAGAAGUAAGAUCUAGUGGAUCCAAAUACAAGGGCCGGAAUAUAUUCAUUUCAAGAAAGGGACUUCAUUGAUACAUCCAUCCUGCUCGGUAAACAGGUUUGUGAAUGCACAAGAGAAAAGAAAGAAGAGUUGUGUGUCUGCACACAGGGAAGCUCUCCGGGAAAGGUAAAUGACAACCCAAAUAUAUGGUGCCUAGGAGGACCAACCAAUGCCAAUCGAUGGAUUUGCCGAAAUAUCACGGUGGCCAUAAAAUCUUCUUAAGCAGAUUCUUUGGAUAAAACUGCUUUUGUGG
rnacentral:misc_RNA from 1 species